GCUGUUUAUAACCGAAAUAAGCCGCUGUAGUCCUACACAAACUGAGCUAAACGCUUUAACGAGGUGGUGCGCAUAUGGGCGUUUUAAUAUUUAUUAGAUAGUCAGAAUUCAAAUUAGAUAUCUGGAAUGUAUUUCCACCUAGUCAAAACUAUAAUUUAAAAUAUCAACUACAGACAACUACAUUUUGACUACGUGCAAUUCGAGUUUUGAAUAUCCGCAGUUCUUUUUUUCCUAGGUAUAAUUGCAAUUACAGAUAUCUAUAAUUCGCCGCAUUUUAUGGAUAUCUAAAAUAAAAUAUAGGAUAUCUCAAACUAACUUAUUACUAGUCGUAAUUCAAUUAAAGAUAUCCGUAAUUAUACUUUUGAAUAUAGGCAAAAUAUAGUUCCAGUUAUCUACAAUUCCAGUUUUGACUAGGUAAAAUUCCUUUUCAGAUAUCUACAUAGACAAUAUAAAUAUCUGGCAAAGGUUUUCAAAUGCGCCGUUUUAAAUAAAACACUUAGAUUGACCAUCUGUUAUUGCAUUUUCGAUAUCCACAAUAAUAUUCUGCCUAGGCAGAAUGGGAGUUUUGGAUAUUCACAAUUCAGUUUUGCCCAGGUAGAAAGGGAAUUUCAGAUAUCCACAACUAUUCUACCUAGGCACUGUUGGGGAUAUGUGAGAAGACCAAUAAAAUUAACUAAUAUUAAUUCCAGUAUCAACAAUAUCUUAAAUAACUCAGCAAAUCACAACUUAACUUAAUUAUAAUGUGUUCGUCUGGAAGAACUGCAUGUGUACGCACGUUACCUGACAUAAAAGGGUGUGUGAGUGUGAGUGAGUGAGUGAGUGAGAGAGAAAGAGAAAAGCGUGCCCCCCUUUAGGGGCGUAGUGAGACGGCACAGCUGCACGGAAGCUGCUUGUGCUGGUGAGCUCUUUGAAUGAAGCGUGCGUGUCUGGCGCUCACAGGAAAAGGAAGUGUGUGAAGCAAUGUGAAAUGGAACUAUCAAAACUAAGGCUUGCAGCCUCACAAACAUGUAGGGCUAUAUUCAGGGAUAUAGUCACAUGAUCGCGAAAGUCCGCAGUGACUAAAGAAAGAAACAGAGCAACAGCACAGUACCACAAUGAAGCAAUCUUAAGAUAGCAAAAUCACAGAUUACAGCACUCCAAUAUACACCUCUCAGAUUCAUGCAGAGCUAUAACAGUGUUAUAGUCACGUCAUCGCAGAAAUGCGCAGUGAUCAGAUCGCGUGUUCACUGUGAUCAGCUCUACGUGGAGGAAGGUGAUGGAGAGAGGAGAACAAAGCUCCCGAUUGUGACCGUCGAGGGAGUGGAGAGAACAAGGAGAACAAAGGGCGAGUCUUUGGUCACGGCAGCUUUUUAUAACCGUGUUUUUGGUCAGGCCCAUGCCAUUGUUGGUCCAAUCAGGAUGGUUGACGUCCAGGCUCGACUCGUCCUGGCAAGGAAGCAAGCAAUGGAAUAAGCCGGAACAAGUUUAGAGAACCAGAUGUCUCCCUCAUCCUGAAAGUAUUUAUAUCCAUGAUCAUGAUCCAUCCUGCUAACGGAUCAGACCAGAUCUCAGUCACUCUGUAGCAACUUCACGGAAGAAUAAAAGACUCCUGUCUGCACCUAAGCCUGGAUUGAAAACAUGUAUCUGGAUCUAGCAAUUUUGACCUAAAAUGAUGAAAGCACUGAAAUUAAAGCUACACUCAUCCUUCAUUAAACAAGAUUCGCUAACAUUGAGAGUAGAGUCCGAUUUCAGAUAAGGUGGUCUGGUAGCUUAGUGGGUAGAGCAUUGGCCUUGGGGUCCCUAAGCAUCUUGCGUGGCCCACUGCAUCCCCCAGGGGAUGGGUUAAGUGCAGAAGACCAAUUUCAUUGUUACAUUGUAAAAUGUGAUAAUGACCAAAAUAGGCUUUCUUUUCUUUCUGUGAAAACCAGGUAAGCUAAAUGAGUAUUAACAGAGAUGGACCAAGACCUAAAUCCUCAUAGGUGGCAGAAAAAAAUGGAUCAGUACUUGGACUCACAGAAGGGACUGUAGCAGCAAUGGGAACCAUAAGGAUGGAGAAACCUCGGAUCAUGUUUAAAACAAGUUUCUGGAAAUAAGUUGGAUUGAGUCUCUGGAGAGAAAACACCUGAAGGCAACAAAUAACAAAGUUUAGUCAUUUACAUCAAGUAUGUGACCACACACUGCUGACAGACUCACCUCCACAAUGAACAGGUUGGUGAGUCCGACGCAGAUUGGCAGAAUCCAAGUCGAGUCAGGCAAUGUGAGGUCAUGGAACCAUAGAACACCUCCUCCAGCCAGGUCCCCAUGCAGUGCUGAACAGGCAGAUGAUACUUCAGUGUCAUCACGUAAAGUUUUUGUCAAGGACCGUUCAUCAGAAAAUAAAAUGCACAAUCAGUCAAGUGGUCACA